rnacentral:lncRNA from 1 species
CGCCGGCCGGGAAGCGGGGCGAUGGUGGGCGCUGGCAGGAGAGCAGUAGCGGUAGGUGGGCUGGCCGGAAGCAGGGGACGUAGGGGUGGCUGCGGCUUCUUCUUCCUCUCAUGUUUUUCUUUUCUUUUUUCUUUCAUUUUUUUUUUGAACGAGAUGGGGCAGCGAGGAGGUCGAGCGGUGGUCGAAGGUCGCUGGCCGAGGAAACAACGACAACGAUGAAGAAAGAGUUGCCUUGUAGUGGUGGUGGGGAAGAAGGGAAGCAAGGUUGUGGCGGGCUA